rnacentral:piRNA from 1 species
UGUGCAUGAGCAUGGUGCCA